CCACGGAGGAGGAGGCGGUGGUCGUGUUAUCGAACGGCCCGCCGGUGGAAGUUGCGCUGCAGGGGUGGGACUUUUUCUGCAGUCGGUCUGUCGGUGGAGAUGCGUCUGGCAGCGCGUUCCACACUCCAGCAGAGAGAGAGAGAGGAAGAAGGACACCUCCGAGCUGAACACUAACCUCCUCCUCUCCUCCUCCUCUCCUCCUCCUCUCCUCCUCUCCUCCUCCUCCUCCUUGUACUUGGAUGCUGUCUGGAUCCGGAUGCGCUGAUCCGAGCGGAGUGUGGACGCCGUUUCCCUCCCUCCUCCACCGGCCCCGGGACGCGUAAACCGGACCUGCCCCGGUGUCAUUGGAUGGAGAGAGGCGCGUGAAGAAGGGAGAGAGCGGUGGAGUUGGUCUACCCUCCUCCUCCUCCUCCUCCUCCUCUUUCUUCCCUACUGCACCAAAAAGAAAACUCCGGGCUGCCUGCAGCACCAUGUCCUCGGCUCACAGUGGGGAUAUAUCAGGCUACCAUCUGAGUGUGGUGCGUAACCCACCAGGCUGGGAGGUGGGGAUAUACCUGGUGGGUUUCUUCGUGCUGUUGGGAGUAGCCGGGCUCAACAUCUGGAAGCUGUGGAAAUCUGGAACCUUCCCCGCACCGUCCCCCUUCCCAAAUUUUGACUAUCGGUAUCUGCAAGAAAAAUAUGGAACCUCCUUUUCAGAAGUCCGACAAAAGAGAGUGGCAGCCAACAACCACCGGCGCACCUCUACCACGUCCAGCCGUAAGCCCAGCCUGGCCCUCGGCGACACCCCAGAUGGCUUCAGGGACCUGGGCCACCUGGAGCUGAUGAGCAGAGAGCUGGACCCGACGGGCCUGGCCCAACUCAACCGCUCCAUUUCCACCGACUCGCUCAGCUCCAUCUCCUCCAUCGCCAACAAUUUCGGUCACGACUUUACCGUCGGCCAGCUGGAGGUGACCUUGGAGUUCGAGCAGUCCCGGCACCCAGGUCACGGGACAGGUCUGCUUCACAUCACCCUGCACCAGGGCAAAGACCUGCUGGAGAGGGAGGAGGGAGACUUCCCAGGAUGCUUCAUCAGAGUGUCCCUGGGACCAGAGGAACUCAACGUGGGAGUCACAAGAGUCCAGACGAAUGCGUUUACGGUGAUUUUCGAUGAACGCUUCUCCAUCCCUGUGGACUUGGCCAGUCUGGAGGAGUACAGUCUGCGCUUUGCUGCUUUCGGUAUUGACGCUGAUGAGAGAAACAUCAGUGCAGGAGUAGCGGACCUUAAGCUGUCAGACCUGGACCUGACCAUCAGACCGUUUAACGCCUGGCUCUACCUUCAGGAUGUCAACAAGGCUGUGGAUGCCGUCGGGGAGAUCCUGUUGUCUCUCAGUUACCUGCCGACUGCAGAGCGCCUCACAGUGGUGGUGGCCAAGUGCAAGAACCUGGUGUGGACCAACGGCAAGACCACUGCAGAUCCAUUUGUCAAAGUGUAUCUACUGCAAGACGGCAGGAAAAUUAGCAAGAAGAAGACUUCGACUAAAAGAGAUGACACAAACCCCAUCUUCAACGAAGCCAUGAUCUUCUCUGUGCCGUCCAUCGUCCUGCAGGAACUGUCCCUGAGGGUGACUGUGGCAGAGGCUACAGACGACGGCCGGGGUGAGAACCUGGGCCAUGUGAUCAUCGGCCCUGAGGCCAGUGGGAUCGGGAUCACCCACUGGAACCAGAUGUUGGCCACCCUGAGGAAACCUGUGUCCAUGUGGCAUCCUCUACGCAGGAUCUAGACCUGUCUGUCACACGUGUCUGAAGUGAAACAUUUGCUUUUUCAUGUUUCUUUCACCUCUUCCUCCUGUUUUUUUAGUGCCAUUCUCAAAUCUGUUACAGUUUUAGUAUGAAAGGUUUUACAUUAUGGUCCACUGAGGGAUUCAGUGUGUUUUCUCAUGAAGGUGGAGGAACCUGAAAAGCCAGUGUUUGACGCUGAUUUGGUGAUUUUACGCUGAAAUGUCCUUUAGAAUCUGCUUUGUUCUGUCACAGGAAUCUGAGGUUAAUUUAUAAUGAAAACCACUGAAACAAAUGAGGAAAUUACAAAUGAUGAUCCUGUACAGCAGUGAUCAUCAACAUUUACUGAUUAUAUCAAAAUCAGAUUGAACAUGCGUUUUCCCAAUCCAUCAUCUGUUAGUUUUUUACUUGAGGAGCCAAGACAACAUGCUGUAAUCUUUUCCCACUUUUCAGAAACACUGCAUAACAGAGUCAGAAACGACUCAGUUUGUUAAACAUUUCCUUCCACUCAGUUGUUUCUGCAGUUAAAUGAACUGCAUCCUGCAUUCUGUCGGACUGUUGCUGCCUUCACGUGUUAUGGCAAUUAUAGUAAAUACUAAUUACAAACUCAAAAAUUGCACAUGAACGCCCCCUCGUGUCAUAUUUUUCACUGGAAAAUUGGGAAAAAAACUGUUCAUACACAAGCUGCCAAGAUGAAAUAACCUUUGGCCUUUUUGACAUGGCGGAGAGCAACAAGGGAUUCAUCAUGAAUGAUAAACAAUACUUUUAUUAACGUUCUGCUACGGUUAACUGUUGAUUUUGCACAUUUAUAGUAUAUACAUAAUUUGUAAAAAAAAAAAAAAAAAAAAAAAUAGCAGUAGCAGCUAUGUUAACACAUCCAAAACUGUUUCACCCAUGUAGCAGGUCACAAUAAACUGUGUGUCAGAAAUUUUUCAUUCUGUUACGACAACAAAA